AUGUGCUUCAUCAAGAGGUAUUUAGAUGACCUUGAGAUUGCAGAUGUUAGGAAAUCAAGACCGCAUUUGGGGCGGGCGGAUCGGCCCCGUGCUAAAGCGUGGUUACCACCGACGGGGGACGCGGCAAAGCUAAAUUGUGAUGGGGCUCUUUCCACUUUGGGAGAAAGGGGAGCUGCUGCAGUGAUAUGUAGGGACAAAGAAGGGAGCUAUCUGGGAGCAUCAGCAGCGGUGAUUGAUGGCAUGAUUGAUCCAGCGUGCCUGGAAGCGCUAGCUUGUAGCGAAGCCCUCGCCCUUGCUCGGGAUUUAAACCUGCAAGACUUGGAGAUAGCCUCAGACUGUCAGAAGGUGAUUUCGCACAUCAGAGAUGGAGGGGCGCCGGUCUAUGCUUCUAUCCUUAGGGAAAUUCAACUUAGUAGGAAUGAUUUUACUUCUGUUAUUUUCAGUUUUGAAUAUAGGGAGAAUAAUUUUGAGGCCCACUCGCUAGCUAAAGGAGCUGUGUCUUUUGUGGUGGGUCGCCAUGUGUGGCUAGGGGUUUUGCCCGACAUUGCUUGUAUUCCUCGGAUUUUGAGUCAUGAAUAA
rnacentral:rRNA from 1 species